rnacentral:rRNA from 1 species
GUCGAACGGCAGCACGGGAGCAAUCCUGGUGGCGAGUGGCGAACGGGUGAGUAAUACAUCGGAACGUGUCCUGUAGUGGGGGAUAGCCCGGCGAAAGCCGGAUUAAUACCGCAUACGCUCUACGGAGGAAAGGGGGGGAUCUUAGGACCUCUCGCUACAGGGGCGGCCGAUGGCAGAUUAGCUAGUUGGUGGGGUAAAGGCCUACCAAGGCGACGAUCUGUAGCUGGUCUGAGAGGACGACCAGCCACACUGGGACUGAGACACGGCCCAGACUCCUACGGGAGGCAGCAGUGGGGAAUUUUGGACAAUGGGCGAAAGCCUGAUCCAGCAAUGCCGCGUGUGUGAAGAAGGCCUUCGGGUUGUAAAGCACUUUUGUCCGGAAAGAAAACCUCUGGGUUAAUACCCCGGGGGGAUGACGGUACCGGAAGAAUAAGCACCGGCUAACUACGUGCCAGCAGCCGCGGUAAUACGUAGGGUGCAAGCGUUAAUCGGAAUUACUGGGCGUAAAGCGUGCGCAGGCGGUUCGCUAAGACAGAUGUGAAAUCCCCGGGCUUAACCUGGGAACUGCAUUUGUGACUGGCGGGCUAGAGUAUGGCAGAGGGGGGUAGAAUUCCACGUGUAGCAGUGAAAUGCGUAGAGAUGUGGAGGAAUACCGAUGGCGAAGGCAGCCCCCUGGGCCAAUACUGACGCUCAUGCACGAAAGCGUG